rnacentral:lncRNA from 1 species
GUGUUUGACCCUAAAUUAAUUUUACGACGGACUAUCCCUUUAAGAAAGCUCAGAAAUGGUCGUCAAAUUUGAUGCACUUAUCUCAGAGGUGUUUGAGUGUGGAUCACAGUUAGAGCUGUUUAAGUUCUCCAAAUUGCAUUACUACUAUGAUAAUCUCUGUUCUGUUUCAUAAUCUGCAAAACCCUGAAUUACGUCGCAUUGAUGGUUGAGUUUGCACCACUUUUACCGCACGAAAUUGCACAGCAAGAAUGCGUAGUGCUGGUUUGUUUGUAGUUUUUACACACAGGGUUUAAGUGGCAAUCUUUGUUGUUUGGGGAUGAGCAAUUUUGGAAAAACUGUAAAGGUAAAGCUCCUGAAACUUUCAGGUAUGCAUGUCCAUCAUUGGCAUAUCAUUCAAAAACGCUCUUUCUUAAAAAUGUCGAUACCUUUCUCUUCCUCUCUUGCGUCACAAGUAUCAGUUGCAUUGCAGUAUUAGUUCUCUUAUGUAACUCCACAGUCGUGUCGGACAAAAGCCAGUGGGAGCUUUUUCUAACCUCGCAGUAAGUGACAAGUAUUUCUUCAAAGAAUCACAGGAAUCGAGGACAAUGCUGUGAAGCUCAGAGGGAGAAUCACACACAGCAAUCCUUCUAUUCUCCUUCAGCCCUCUUCUGAACUAAUGAAGAGUUAUUACUGAGGUUAGUGGACCACAGGAAAACCCUGUCGCUGUCUCUUUUGCUGAGGAAUUAAGUUAAUUGACUGUAUUGGGGAUUAGGUGCGAACAGAACCAAAUCAAUCUGCUUUUAGAGGCUCAAAGUCAUCCAGCAUCCUUAAAUUGAAGUAUUACUUUAGUUUUGUCACUUUUUGCAACUUCUCAUGGCAAUGAUGCAUCUAUGCGGUGAUUUUUUCCUUUGUGGUACCAUUCAUCGUAAACUGAGCCACGACUCUAAAAUCCCAGACUGUCUUUUUUCAAACGGUUUCCCAGGGGUGAUAAUUCUGCACUUACACUCAUGCUGCAGUAAUCAAUAAGUCAUUCCAGUGUGCCGACUGCUCGGAGACUGAUAAAAGACUUGUGAAAUAAAACAUACUUAAAGUCUGCUGGAGAGCACACUACGUUUAUUUUUAAUGAUUAUCAGGGGGACGGUUGGUUUAUGAAGCACAGACACACCAAAAUGUGGGACUUCUCCAUCUUCAUCUACAACUCAAUCAGUUAUUCAGGAUCUUACUGCAUUUUUACAAAGUUGUCCCUUUUGAAAUAUGGGUAAGUUAAAGCUCCUGUGAGAACUUCCUGUUUGUGUCCAUGUUGGUGUCGUAAACGCGUCAAUUUUUACGUUUGCAGCGAAAAAUAAAAGGUUAAAAAAGGCUGUUUCUUUAGCGUGCUGUACUGACCCCCCUUAGUGGGAUUACAGGUAUUAAAAGGUCCGGUUUAGGGGCGUGGAUGGCCGAGUGGGUUAGCGCACCCCGUACACAAAGACCACAGUCCCUGCAGCGGUCGCGGGUUCGACUGACCAUGUGCUGCACGUCCUCCUCUAUCUCCCAACAUUUCAUACUGUCCUAUCAAUAAAAAAUGGCAAAAAGGUUCAGAAACAGUUAUUCAAGCUGCUGGUCGUCUUAUUUGCUUUUAUGGCUCAAACAAACCAACAAAAAAACACCCACAGGAACUUUAAAGUGACUCUGGCCUUGUCCACAUAGAGAGAAAAACGAUAUAUGGCCAUUUCAUUUUGAAAAAGUUUUCCUUAAAGACAGCAUCGUUUCGGGAAAUAUCGGCAUAAACACAAAACCACAAAAGAAAACGAUGUAGUGAAUAUGCCAAGCCAGUAAGUGGCGCUGUAACACUACCCCAGUAAUGCACCAAAAGCUAGAAGAAGAGUAUGAAGCGUGUGUAAAAAGGUUGUUUUAGCCGGACUCAUGUUACGUAAUCGUUUCAAGAAAGAUCUGGAAAGGAUCCACAUAGACACGAAACAGUAGUCGUAUAUGGAUUUAUACACUCUGGGACCUGUUUUCAAGAAGUGUCGUUUACAGUCACCCGAAAUGCUUUUUCUGUGUGGAUGAAACAACAAACAACUUUUUUGUUUACUCGUUUACUUUACUGGUUGUUUAUCUCAUCUCUCAAGUUUGAGUAUCUUGAAGCCACUGUGAGACUGUAGGAGGGUUAAGAGACUUCCACUGCAGAGGUCAGCGACGUGUUGGUGCACGAAAGAGGAGCGAGUAAAUGCAGUCGAUGUGUGCAAAAUUAUGUGUACUGAUGGUCUUUUUUUGAUAGUGAAUCACAUGCCAGGAGCAACUCAUCUAAGGCUAACAAUAGGGGUCGGCAAGGUAGCGUUUCAGUUUGAUGUCGCUUGAUAUUGCCAAAUACUCCCAUUUCUCUGUACCUUAAAAAAAGUAACAGCCAGUCUCUUUGUGUGUAAAGUAUCGUGUUUAUAUUUUUUGAAAUGGAGAAGUUUCAAGUUUGAGAUAAGUUUUAAUUACAGCCCAAGUUUGACUCACAAUCUUUUUAAUUCACCAGUACAGUGGAAAUGUUGACUCGUCCAGUGAAUUAGAUGGAUGUUAGAUAUGAUUCGGUAACAAACUGAGAGAGAAGCUUAAUCUGGGUUUGCACUCUUGUUCAAAUUCACUUCCAAUCCAGACAAAAGUUUGUGAUUUACACACAGAAAAUAAACAUCAUUUACUCUCCUUUCCUCCAGGAUUGCAUACCCCAACAUUAAAAAUACACUUGUUCACAGUGUACUCUCUUUCCAGUGUUAAAGCUGAGUCAAUAAACCCUCUCUAUCCAUUAUUUCCAGGCUAGACUUCCUGUCAGUCCAAGUGUUUUUCUUCUUCAGGAAACAAAGUUUAUUUGGUUACAUCAGCUGCUCACGCUCCAUAGUUGAAUUGUUUCUGCAGACUGAGAAGUGUGAGAGCGGCACACCUCUUAGUUCCUGCUAACAGAGCAGAAAGACGGAGGAAGCUACAGACUCGGUUUGACUCAGGAGGGACUUUUAGACUGCACACUCUGACCCUGCAAAAUACUCUGUUUUGGGAUGGAUAGACGAACCUAGACUUCGUAGACCACACUGAAAAUCCAACAAAGUAAUGUCAGUCCUGUCUGCAGCAGCUCUGCGCACGUAUUCGGCGACUGAAGGCUGCUUUAGCGAGGUUGAAAGACUGAAGUUAAAUGAGAUGCUUCAACCAGUAAAUUGAAUUUUUCCUUUAAACUAGGAAAUUUUAAACUUUAGUCUUUGCUUGAUUAAUUGACGUCUGCCUCCCGCCUUAUCACAAAGUUUUUAGGCAGGGAUUCAACUUGGUGAGAUUGAUCCCGGCCACCUUUCACUCUCUUUGACAUCCAUCUCAGAGCUAGUUCUGGCGGGUCUCCUCUGCUCCGUCUGUACACAGGUCUUCAAUAAAUAAUGUUCACGCUGAACUGAUGGGCCGUGUUUUAGAAACAAGGCUCUGAACUCUGCAGCGACCUCCUGUUUCAUCACUCUGACUCAUUCAUUAUUCCUUUGUGAGCGCAGAGCUGCGGGAGGCUCAAAGCAGAAACGAGACGGAUCUGAACCGAGCCGGUCAGCCGUGUGUUUGAACAGAGCCGCUCUUUUUGACAGAGAUGAAAUUCAAAGAAGGAGAAACACUGCAACAGGAAUGAGUAUCGACUGAAAAAGCCAAUAACAGCGACAGAAAGACUCGGUUUAUCAAGACUGUCUGUUGUUUUCACUCAUGAACCUGUAAGGCGUGGAAAAGGAAGUCUCCCACACCCAGUUUGUUAACCUGUGGAGGGAAACUGUCACCGCUCACCGUGCGUCACUAGCUUUAAGCUGAAAUCUUCAGGGAGAGCUUGGCUGUUUGUUUGCUGUGGGCUUUAACGUUCACGCUCAUCCUGUUUGAUAAACAGGCAGGGAUUAUCAUCGCAGCCAAAUAUGCUAACAGCUCCGCUAACAUCCACACAGGAGUCGUCAGGGGGGCUGCAGGUUUAGAGACGAGUGAACGCUGUUUGACCAGCAAUGAGCGUCUCUUCAUUUAUUCAUUCUGGAAAACAGAUUUGUUAAAGUUUUUAAAGAAGAUUUAUGUUUGAUAUUUACAGCGUUAAUCUUAUCAAGUGAAAGUUUUCAAAUGUCUCUCAAUCUGGAAACUCAGCAUCAAUUUAUUUUAGUGCUGAUAAAACGGUGUCAAUGCAAGACGAUAAACUAAUAGGUGAAAAAGUUUGGAAUAACCAUUUUAGCAACCUAAUUUAGGUGAGACAAAAGUCAAAAUCUUAAAAUAAUAGUUUCAGAUUACUGAAAAUUCCCAUAAUCCCUGAG